UGCGGCAACAUUGCUGCUAGUUUUAUGCUCCUUCCCAGAAGUGGCUUGGCUCUUCCUCUAAUGCCAAUUCAUUGCUGUAAAUUUUUGACUCGAAGAUCGACACAACUAGAGUGGAUGGUGGUGGCAGGAUGACUGUGGACCUAUAAAAAAAGUUUCUAGUUGGAGUUGGCUCCAGUGAAAACCCUCUGAUGCUCAAAUUAGAAACUCAGAAUAGAUGGAAAAGAGUUAUUAUUGUGGGAAG
rnacentral:lncRNA from 1 species